ensembl:3prime_overlapping_ncRNA Gm29254 predicted gene 29254
AGAAGAAGCAGCGCCUGGGGGAGCAGAGGGAGCGCUCGGCGAGCCCGCAGCGCAGUGCGCGGCCCAGGCUGGAGGAGGUGCCCGGCGGCCAGGGGCGGCCCGAGGCCGGCAGGCCCGCCUCGGAGGCGGCCGACGGGAAGGAGGCGCUGCGCGGCCGGCGCGAGGGCCUCGGGGCCGCGGGCGCGCGGGAGGCCGAGGCCAAGAGGAGCAAGUUGCACCUGGGGGUGUCAUGGAGUUUGUGAUCCAAGGGAACAGUUCUCAGCUACUGCUGCAAGGACUUUUUCCAAAUUACAUCAAUGAGAGACCUAAAGUUCCUAACCUGUCAAUCUUUCAUUUCAAUACUAUUUACUAUAUUAAAAAGCUCACACAUCAGUUUCAGAGAAGAGGGGCAGGAAGUAGGAAAUCAAGUACUAUUUGAGAUUGUGCAGUCUUGUCUUGUUUUUAAGGUUAUCAUGGUUAAUUUACAUUUUUAAGAACCAGUGAACAAGAAGGCUCAAGCGCAACCCUGACAAGCCACCUGCAGGCUGCAGCUGCCUCCAGCCUACCAAUUUGCACCAACAGUUGCCUUGGAACACCAGCCGAAGCCAAGGCAGGGAAGCUGAGCCUUGGAUGGAAGCAAUGUCUCCUGCAGACCCCAGGCAGGGAGUCCUGUGGCUCACCUGGAAAAGCUUCUGAAACUUUGGCUAGCACAAGGCUUUCCACCACAAGCCAGCCCACCAUUCCCACAGCAGGGCAGGUUUGCUGAAAUUCAGUCCAGUUGGCUGAUGCUUGUGUGGAUCUGGUUAUUAUUUGGAAGUUUAUAUUCAUAAUAAGUUUCCCUGAGUGUGUAAGUUCAUAUCCCAAUUUAUAUCUUUUCCACC